UAGAGUUUGAUCCUGGCUCAGAUUGAACGCUGGCGGCAGGCCUAACACAUGCAAGUCGAACGGUAGCACAGAGAGCUUGCUCUCGGGUGACGAGUGGCGGACGGGUGAGUAAUGUCUGGGAAACUGCCUGAUGGAGGGGGAUAAGUACUGGAAACGGUAGCUAAUACCGCAUAACGUCUUCGGACCAAAGUGGGGGACCUUCGGGCCUCACACCAUCGGAUGUGCCCAGAUGGGAUUAGCUAGUAGGUGGGGUAAUGGCUCACCUAGGCGACGAUCCCUAGCUGGUCUGAGAGGAUGACCAGCCACACUGGAACUGAGACACGGUCCAGACUCCUACGGGAGGCAGCAGUGGGGAAUAUUGCACAAUGGGCGCAAGCCUGAUGCAGCCAUGCCGCGUGUAUGAAGAAGGCCUUCGGGUUGUAAAGUACUUUCAGCGGGGAGGAAGGCGAUAAGGUUAAUAACCUUGUCGAUUGACGUUACCCGCAGARGAAGCACCGGSUAACUCCGUGCSAGCASCCGCGGUAAUACGGAGGGUSCAAGCGUUAAUSGGAAUUACUGGGCGUARAGCGCACGCAGGCGSUSUGUCARGUCAGAUGUGAAAUCCCCGGGCUUAACCUGGGAACUGCAUUUGAAACUGGCAGGCUAGAGUCUUGUAGAGGGGGGUAGAAUUCCAGGUGUAGCGGUGAAAUGCGUAGAGAUCUGGAGGAAUACCGGUGGCGAAGGCGGCCCCCUGGACAAAGACUGACGSUCAGGUGCGAAAGCGUGGGGAGCAAACAGGAUUAGAUACCCUGGUAGUCCACGCCGUAAACGAUGUCGACUUGGAGGUUGUGCCCUUGAGGCGUGGSUUCCGGAGCUAACGCGUUAAGUCGACCGCCUGGGGAGUACGGCCGCAAGGUUAAAACUCAAAUGAAUUGACGGGGGCCCGCACAAGCGGUGGAGCAUGUGGUUUAAUUCGAUGCAACGCGAAGAACCUUACCUGGCCUUGACAUCCACGGAAUUCGGCAGAGAUGCCUUAGUGCCUUCGGGAACCGUGAGACAGGUGCUGCAUGGCUGUCGYCAGCUCGUGUUGUGAMMUGUUGGGUUAWRUCCCGCAACGAGCGCAACCYUUAUYCUUKSUYGNNAGCGAUUAGYGUCUGGAACUCRAMRGAUACUGCCSGYGACUAACCGGAGGAMGGUGGGGAUSACNUMAARUCUUCMUGGCCCUUAUGGNCASGGCUACNCMCGUGCURCRAUKGSGYW
rnacentral:rRNA from 1 species